AUACGGAGGGUGCAAGCGUUACUAGGAAUCACUGGGCGUAAAGCGCGCGCAGGCGGCUUGAUAAGUUGGAUGUGAAAGCCUACGGCUCAACCGUAGAACUGCAUCCAAAACUGUCAGGCUAGAGUGUGGGAGAGGAAGAUGGAAUUAGUUGUGUAGGGGUAAAAGCCGUAGAGAUAACUAGGAAUACCAAAAGCGAAGGCAAUCUUCUGGAACACUACUGACGCUGAGGCGCGAAGGCGUGGGGAGCAAACAGGAUUAGAAACCCUAGUAGUCC
rnacentral:rRNA from 1 species